rnacentral:siRNA from 1 species
GAUGUGUUUAGCGUUUUGUCGC